CAGCAGCCACGGGAAUACGGAGGGUGCAAGCGUUAAUCGGAAUUACUGGGCGUAAAGCGCACGCAGGCGGUCUGUCAAGUCAGAUGUGAAAUCCCCGGGCUUAACCUGGGAACUGCAUUUGAAACUGGCAGGCUAGAGUCUUGUAGAGGGGGGUAGAAUUCCAGGUGUAGCGGUGAAAUGCGUAGAGAUCUGGAGGAAUACCGGUGGCGAAGGCGGCCCCCUGGACAAAGACUGACGCUCAGGUGCGAAAGCGUGGGGAGCAAACAGGAUUAGAUACCCCUGUAGUCCCUGUCUCUUAUAC
rnacentral:rRNA from 1 species